rnacentral:rRNA from 1 species
ACUCAAAUGAAUAGACGGGGGCCCGCACAAGCGGUGGAGCAUGUGGCUCAAUUCGAUGCAACGCGAAGAACCUUACCAGGCCUUGACAUGCAUUUGACCGGUGCUGAAAGGCACUUUUCCCGCAAGGGACAGAUGCACAGGUGCUGCAUGGCUGUCGUCAGCUCGUGUCGUGAGAUGUUGCGUUAAGUCGCGCAACGAGCGCAACCCCUGUCCUUAGUUGCCAUCAUUAAGUUGGGCACUCUAGGGAGACAAACCCUCUCUGAGGGUGGGAAGGUGGGGAUGACGUCAAGUCAGGAUGGCCCUUACGGCCUGGGCUGCACACGUGCUACAAUGCCCGGUACAAUGGGAAGCCAAGCUGCAAAGCCGAGCAAAUCCACAAAACCGGGCCCAGUUCAGAUUGCAGUCUGCAACUCGACUGCAUGAAGCUGGAAUCGCUAGUAAUGGCGUAUCAGCUACGACGCCGUGAAUACGUUCCCGGGCCUUGCACACACCGCCCGU